rnacentral:tRNA from 1 species
GCGGAAGUAGCUCAUUUGGUAGAGCGAGAGCCUUCCAAGCUCUAGGCGGCGGGUUCGAUUCCCGUCUUCCGCU